GCCAGUUUUAGAAUGCCUGCCAGUCAGCAUUAAAGGGGGAUCUGUUUCAUGGUUUUUCUAUAUGUGAAAUGUCAAAGAACUGCAGAGGAUGUGUUAUUUAUUAUUUCUAGCAUUCUUUUUUAGGAGAUGCAGCAGAAGAUGUAAUAUCUUUUAAUUGUCAAGCAUGGAAGUGGACAUUGGACCAGAAUCAACCAUUAGGUUAAUUUUACCCAGCGUGUGGGGACCAGUAAAAGAUGUCAUGGCUCCGCAAAUGACUAGUUGCAGAAAUGCAAUGCUUCUGAUCAUCUUUAACAACUUCAUUCAAGAAAGGUUAUAGGAGUAACUUCUGACAGAGCAGUUCAUGAAAAACACG
rnacentral:lncRNA from 1 species